AGAGCAAGUCGGACGGUCGCUGCUGGAGUGGUCUCAGAUCUGGGAUUUCAGAUCUGAGAUUAAUGCCAGGAGAGGAAAGUCCGAACACCGAAGGGCAGCGAGCCCGCUAACGGCGGGGCGUUCCGGCGAAUUUCGAAUUUCAAAUCUCAAAUUUGAGAUGGGGUUUUGGAACUUCGGGACGACGACAAGUGCAACAGAGAAAAGACCAGCCGACCGCGCUUCGGCGCGGGGUGAUGGGUGAAACGGUGCGGCCCGCAGGGGCUUAAAGUAAGAGCGCACCGGCGCGCGUGGUGACAUGCGUGGCCAGGCAAACUCCUCGCGGUGCAAGACCAAAUAGGGAGGCGUAAGAAGGGCGGCCCGCCCAAAUCCCGGUAUAACAUAUCGGGAUACGACCUCCGGGUAGGUUGCUUGAUCCAACCGGCAACGGUUGGGCUAGAGGAAUGAUCGUCGCUCCGAUUUCAGAUUUGAGAUCUCAAGUUUGAAAUUUCAAAUCUGGGAUCGGAGAACAGAAUUCGGCUUACAGACUUGCUCUCAAU
rnacentral:RNase_P_RNA from 1 species